rnacentral:rRNA from 1 species
GAGUUUGAUCCUGGCUCAGGACGAACGCUGGCGGCGUGCUUAACACAUGCAAGUCGAACGGAGCACCCCUGAAGGAGUUUUCGGACAACGGAUGGGAAUGCUUAGUGGCGGACUGGUGAGUAACGCGUGAGGAACCUGCCUUCCAGAGGGGGACAACAGUUGGAAACGACUGCUAAUACCGCAUGAUGCGUUGGAGCCGCAUGACUCCGACGUCAAAGAUUUAUCGCUGGAAGAUGGCCUCGCGUCUGAUUAGCUAGUUGGUGAGGUAACGGCCCACCAAGGCGACGAUCAGUAGCCGGACUGAGAGGUUGGCCGGCCACAUUGGGACUGAGAUACGGCCCAGACUCCUACGGGAGGCAGCAGUGGGGAAUAUUGGGCAAUGGACGCAAGUCUGACCCAGCAACGCCGCGUGAAGGAAGAAGGCUUUCGGGUUGUAAACUUCUUUUAAGGGGGAAGAGCAGAAGACGGUACCCCUUGAAUAAGCCACGGCUAACUACGUGCCAGCAGCCGCGGUAAUACGUAGGUGACAAGCGUUGUCCGGAUUUACUGGGUGUAAAGGGCGUGCAGCCGGAAAGACAAGUCAAAUGUGAAAUCCACGGGCUCAACCCGUGAACUGCAUUUGAAACUGUUUCCCUUGAGUGUCGGAGAGGUAAUCGGAAUUCCUUGUGUAGCGGUGAAAUGCGUAGAUAUAAGGAAGAACCCCAGUGGCGAAGGCGGAUUACUGGACGAUAACU